GAUCACGUGUGAAUUUAUGCGAACUCCACCUCUGAUCUCCAAACCCUGAAACUGUCGGCGAGUUGUAUCGCACAUCGGACCCCAAGUUCGAAUCCCACACUUGCUGGAUCCCUGUGGACAUCGGAUGGUCCGCGGCCCCAGUUCCGAAAGCUGAGAUUGGAACAUUCCAAUGCACCUGACAGUUGAGAUCUGUCCACGUUAUCUGCUUGUGCUUCAGGCGAAGAAGCUGCUAGCAAGCUAGUACCGCGUCUGUCCCCUUGAUCGUUCCAAACGCUGGAAGGAUGGUCAUCGAUAGUCUUCUGGGUGGGGUCUAAGAGGUUAUUUUUUUGCUUCAAGUCUGGUAAGCUGUAAAGUCUGACGACUGCAUGUUGCUCUUUCCAUAUGGUUCGUGUUGCGAAUCGAAAAUCGGUGAGUGUUGGUGGUGGUUUUAUGUUCUGAUGGGUUCCUUUUUUAUGGGGUUGGAGGUUUUAGAGAUGACGACGUGAUCUCAACGGAUGCCUGCCGUGAAGAUUUCUUAUUCGGUUGCGGUGUGUGAGAGUUGUUCCUGUCAGCCCCACUUGUUUUUAGUAAUUAAUUUUGUAGAUAUUAAUUUUUGGAUUUCCUGAACGUGAUUUCACACUCCACAUCUGUAUGGAAAUUGCGAAUGACUGAAUGCUAGUGGUUGUGACGAUCGGAAUUUCGUGUGCCGAUUGAUUCAAGCUAAAAACAAUGAUCAUGUGUCUUUUUCGACUGGUGAAUUUGGUCUGGGACGAUAUUAGGCACUAGAAUUUUACUAUUGAUAGUAUGAAUAGAUAUUGUUCUUUCAUGUUUGAAUAGCUAUGUCAAGACGAAAGAUUCAUUGUAAUGGUGAAACAAUUCGUGAUAUGUCUUAGCGAUAAAACAUCCAUGGGAGGGUAAACAUUCCCUCACUGAGCAGUGAAAAUUCAAACAAACCAUUGUUUGUUUGUUUCUGUGAUGCUUUUUUUGGCGUAAACUGAAAUUUCAAGCAAAGUGUUCGAAGGUUUUAGUAGUUCAGAGACAGGCAGCGGGGGAGAAACUCACAGAGAUCGUGUCUUCUUGUGGGAGUCUUGCUAAUGGUGUGUAUCUCAGUGCUGCUCUGAACUUCGAAGAACCUUAACAAGUCUCCACGUAGUAUGAACCUCAACCCGUGUGACUUGUUUGGCACAAAUGUGUGUGAAGACUUGUUUUCUCAGGCAGCUCCCUCCAGGCCUUGGACGGACGAGUAGCUUGCCAUGCGAGUAAUCUCGCAGGAUUUCCUUUCAGAACGACCCAGCCCAGAACUACAGCCGAAGAUUGCGUUUAUGUUUUUGACUGCGGGCAUUCCACCCUUUGAAAAAAUAUGAGAGAAGUUUUUGAGGUAUGAUUUUUUUCUAUUAAUGCUUUGCAUUUUUCAACAUUGUAUAUAAAAUUUGUUCCGAUUUGAACUCGAUGCGGGUUAAGUAUUCUUUGCGAAGUUGUAACCCUAUAUUAUUCGAGCUAUAUUACUCGUGAAAGUUCAGUAAUCAUUGAGAUUGAAGCAAGAAUGUGAUCAUCUUCCAAUUGCUCCCACACCUGUAUCGUACUUUCCAUGGCUGAUGGACAUUUUGGGAGCCGCUUGGGUCAUAACUGGCCCCAACUUUGUCGUUUUCAUCGACAACAAGCUGAAGAUUAUUUUAGGGAAAUGGUGCUCAUCCCAAUUUCAUAAUUGAGCAGGGAUACGAAGGUCUGUACUCUGUCUUCGUGCAUGCCUCCAAACGGGCAGAAUUGAAGAGUGUCUGGAACUCCUCUGUAUUCAUCGACAGAGAGAUUCGUAGCCAAGCGGUCUUUUGGGGAAGAACUGAAAUGGUUGAUGCCGAGCGACGUCUUCUUACGAAUGCGCUCAUGGAUUCAGACAAAUAGUACUUCACUCUAUUAUCUGAAUCGUGUGCCCUCAGGCCAUAGAUCUUUCAUGUAUAUGGUUAUACAGAGUGUUUCAUAUUGGGGGCGCUUUUCUUAUGCUGCACGUUUUAAUACUCAGCUUGGUCAUGUAUUGUGUUCAACUCACCCACUGAUGCAGAUGCAUACCUCUAAAUAACUUUAGCUUCACCUAUGGAUAUCUGUUUAACGCUCACAUGAGUUUUGUAGACGGUUAGGUUCUCAAACUAUCCAUACAUCCUCCCGCAGGUUUAUUUCAUGUCUUAACGUCCCAUACCAACAGCUCGGGAUGCACAUCGUUGAACACUGUACAUUUUUCGGUUUUAUGCUUUAAAUCGACUAGGAUUUGUAGUCGAGGACAGGAAAUCAAGAUUGGUAGCAUUCAGCAUGUAUGUUCUUAAAACGCCAUCUUCAUAAGUGGCCUUUGAGUUAAAAGUAUUGUGAGAAGUAAGGCUUCAAUGCUUGACGUCAUUUCUUAAAGUCUGGAAAAUUGAAGCCUCUUCACUCUUGGCACUCUCCGAACAAACCUUUAGAGCAGCUGUGAACUCUGUUUUCUUUUUAAGAAAGUCACUCAACGUCUCCAGUUUGUGAAACUUCCCAUUCGACUGCGUCACCUUUUCCUGUGCCUUUUUUUUUUUUUGUUUUUCCUUAAAAUAAAAAAAUAAAAAAAAUGAGGAUGAUGACUUUGUUUGAUGUGUUAAUUACAACAGCUCCGAUGAUCUUGGCCCUCAUGGGCAAAAUCGCAACCGCGAGAAGAUGCCUCCUGAAAUAUCGCGUGUUUCUUAGAGAAAAGGGGCUCAAGUAUGCCUUCAACACUUAGUUGUGAUCUUCCUUAUUUAUUUCAAUGAAUUGAGGAGAUUCUACCAGUCACAAGUUUACAUUCUACGUGGUUGGUGUAAGGGUUCACAGUUCUGCUUUCAAGAGUAUAUUGCAGUAGCUACAUGUGUACUGUACUCUCUUUGAAAGAGAAGUCAUUCCAGGGGAUAAUCCAGGUGGCAUAGCACAAAGGCCACACAAUUCUCAUUAUGGCAUUCGUUUACCUACACAUGAUAAAUCCGUCAUGAAGCAGUGGCUUGCUGUCAACCGAAAACAUGCCCUCUUGUUUAUCUCUGAUUACCUCUACUACAACAAGAUUAAAUACUAUUGCAAGCCUGGGCCAGAGAAUAAGAACUGCUGCCUCGAUGAAAUUAGUAUUAGAUAUGGUGCCUCUCAUGAAGAAAUUACUAAGUGUUUCAAUUAUUACUUAAUAGUAGUGAAAGAUGUUUCUAUGGAUGAUUUUGUAAGUGGCUCUUAUAUUUUUAUUGCAAUAGUUAGAACUUAAUUAUAGAAUAUAUUCACAAUAUAGAAUUAGUAUUCUAGAUAUUUUAGUAUAGUGACAUAGAAAACAUUGAUGAAGGAGAUUGUAGUCAAACAAGAAGUGAGAUAGAUAAUACCAAUCUUGAUUGUCUUAAUGCACUUGUUGAUAGUGCACUUCUUGAUAGCCUUGAAA